rnacentral:rRNA from 1 species
CAGUAGGUAAUAUUGGGCAAUGGGCGGAAGCCUGACCCAGCCAUGCCUCGUGCUGGAAGAAGGCCUUCUGGGUUGUAAACGGCUUUUGAGGGGGAAGAAUAAGGGGACUGCGGUCUUUGAUGCCGGUACCUCUCGAAUAAGCACCGGCUAACUCCGUGCCAGCAGCCGCGGUAAUACGGAGGGUGCGAGCGUUGUCCGGAUUUAUUGGGUUUAAAGGGUGCGUAGGCGGCUGCUUAAGUCGACAUUGAAAGGCGGUGGCUCAACCAUCGAGUGGGUGUCGAUACUGAGCGGCUCGAGAGGCGAUGAGGUUGGCGGAAUGGGUGGUGUAGCGGUGAAAUGCAUAGAUACCAUCCGGAACACGGAAGGCGUAGGCAUCCAACUGCUCCUGCUCUGACGGUGAGGCACGAAAGUGUUGGGAGCGAACAGGAUUAGAUACCCUGGUAGUCCACUCUUUUUACGAUGAUCACUCGUGUUCAUGACUUCUAA